UACGUAGGGUGCGAGCGUUGUCCGGAAUUACUGGGCGUAAAGAGCUCGUAGGUGGUUUGUCGCGUUGUCCGUGAAAAACUCACAACUCAAUUGUGGGCGUGCGGGCGAUACGGCAGACUGGAGUACUGCAGGGGAGACUGGAAUUCCUGGUGUAGCGGUGGAAUGCGCAGAUAUCAGGAGGAACACCGGUGGCGAAGGCGGGUCUCUGGGGCAGUAACUGACGCUGAGGAGCGAAAAGCGUGGGGAGCGAACAGG
rnacentral:rRNA from 1 species